ensembl:lncRNA
CUCUUUACAGCUGGCUUUGAAUAAGAUCUUUUCCAUUCUCAUCAAAAAUACAUAAGUGGCCUCCAGUGCUUUGUUUGGUUAGAGUCUAGCAAAGAGAUAUGAGCAUAAAGACCUGAGGAGCAGCAGGCAACAUCACCAUUCCUAGGAUGGCUCUGGCCAUCCCUUGCCAAAUUAAUUUCUAUUUGCUUAGGAUCAUCAAGAUAUCCUGUUUUCUUUCAUUCCAUUCUAUGUAGAAUAGGGAAAACUAAAGAAAACUAUGCAGGUGGUGAGAGAGUUCUGAAGAGAACCUGUGCCUGCAUUUGAGCCAAUUCCAACUACCAAAAAGAUAUGGCACAAGAAGUUUGAAACCAUCUCCUGGGAGCUGUGGGGUAGAGAGAGGCCACUUUCCAGGUGUUCGAAACUAUGGAGGUGCUACAAACUAACAUGGAAGGUGAAAGAAGAGAAACAAAGAUAACCAUUUUCCUUUCCUGGCCAGAGCAGACAGAUACUAUGAAGAGUUCCUGACAGGAAGAAG